CACGUAGGGCGCAAGCGUUGUCCGGAAUUAUUGGGCGUAAAGAGCUCGUAGGCGGUCUGUUGCGUCCGCUGUGAAAACUCGGGGCUUAACCCCGAGCCUGCAGUGGAUACGGGCAGACUAGAGGUAGGUAGGGGAGAAUGGAAUUCCCGGUGUAGCGGUGAAAUGUGUUGAUAUCGGAAGGAACGCCAGAGGCGAAAGCGCCACACUGGGUCUCAACUGACGCUGAGGCACGAAAGCCAGGGGAGCAAACGGG
rnacentral:rRNA from 1 species